rnacentral:rRNA from 1 species
UAGGGAAUCUUCGGCAAUGGGGGCAACCCUGACCGAGCAACGCCGCGUGAGUGAAGAAGGUUUUCGGAUCGUAAAGCUCUGUUGUUAAGGAAGAACGAGUGUGAGAAUGGAAAGUUCAUACUGUGACGGUACUUAACCAGAAAGGGACGGCUAACUACGUGCCAGCAGCCGCGGUAAUACGUAGGUCCCGAGCGUUGUCCGGAUUUAUUGGGCGUAAAGCGAGCGCAGGCGGUUAGAUAAGUCUGAAGUUAAAGGCUGUGGCUUAACCAUAGUACGCUUUGGAAACUGUUUAACUUGAGUGCAAGAGGGGAGAGUGGAAUUCCAUGUGUAGCGGUGAAAUGCGUAGAUAUAUGGAGGAACACCGGUGGCGAAAGCGGCUCUCUGGCUUGUAACUGACGCUGAGGCUCGAAAGCGUGGGGAGCAAACAGGAUUAGAUACCCUGGUAGUCCACGCCGUAAACGAUGAGUGCUAGGUGUUAGACCCUUUCCGGGGUUUAGUGCCGCAGCUAACGCAUUAAGCACUCCGCCUGGGGAGUACGACCGCAAGGUUG